rnacentral:rRNA from 1 species
GCGGAGGAAAAGAAACUAACAAGGAUUCCCCUAGUAACUGCGAGUGAAGCGGGAAGAGCUCAAAUUUGAAAUCUGGCGGUUCUGCCGUCCGAGUUGUAAUCUGGAGAAGCGUUUUCCGUGCCGGACCGUGUACAAGUCCCUUGGAACAGGGCCUCAUAGAGGGUGAGAAUCCCGUCUUUGACACGGACUCCCGGUGCUCUGCGAUGCGCUCUCGAAGAGUCGAGUUGUUUGGGAAUGCAGCUCAAAAUGGGUGGUAAAUUCCAUCUAAAGCUAAAUAUUGGCGAGAGACCGAUAGCGAACAAGUACCGUGAGGGAAAGAUGAAAAGCACUUUGGAAAGAGAGUAAAACAGUACGUGAAAUUGUUGAAAGGGAAACGCUUGAAGUCAGUCGCGUCUUCUGGAACUCAGCCUUGCUUCUGCUCGGUGCACUUUCCAGUUUGACGGGUCAGCAUCGGCUCUGGGGGGUGGACAAAGGCGCGGGGAAGG